CUUUACAAGAUACAUACACACUGACUCUCCUCCCUGAAGCAAAGAAAACCUUAGUGGAUUCCAGAGUAGAAAUAGCAAUAGGAUCUACCCAGUACAACUAGAAAUUAAUAAUGAAAUGGGGGGAAAGUUCCACCUGGAAAUUUUAAAAAUUAAUAAAUUACCUGAGUCAAAGGGGAAAUACAAGUUAAAGUUAUAUAAUUUUUCUGGAAAACUGUGUGUCACAAUUUAUGGUAUAGCCUAAAGUGGUACUCAAAGAUUAUGGCUCUAAAAACAUGUAGAAAAAUAAAGUAAUUAAGCCUAUGACUCAGAGUUAGGAAAACAAAGUAUUCAUAAAUACUAAAUUAGAAAUCAGUAAGUUAAAAAAACAAGAAUAAGAAAGAUUUUUUAAAAAUAUAUAAACUAAUUUAUAUGAGCAAAUUGAAAAUUAUAGAAACUAGCCCCCAUCAAAGAAAAAGGACCAGCUUCAGUUUCACAGAAAAUUCUUGUGAUUCUUAAAAACUAGACAAUUCAAAUGCUAUGAAAAAUUCCAGAGUACA